rnacentral:rRNA from 1 species
UACAGAGGGUGCGAGCGUUGUUCGGAAUCACUGGGCGUAAAGGGUGCGUAGGCCGCACGGUAAGUCAGAGGUGAAAUCCCGGAGCUCAACUUCGGAAUUGCCUCCGAUACUGCCGUGCUUGAGGACUGGAGAGGAGAUUGGAAUUCACAGUGGAGCAGUGAAAUGCGUAGAUAUUGUGAGGAACACUAGUGGCGAAGGCGAAUCUCUGGACAGUUCCUGACGCUGAGGCACGAAGGCCAGGGGAGCAAACGGG